rnacentral:rRNA from 1 species
GACGGAGGGUGCGAGCGUUGUUCGGAUUGACUGGGCGUAAAGGGCGUGUAGGCGGUCGGCCAAGUCUGGUGUGAAAGCCCGGGGCUCAGCUCCGGAAGUGCGCCGGAAACUAGCUGGCUGGAGCGCGGUAGAGGAGGGUGGAAUUCCUGGUGUAGCGGUGAAAUGCGUAGAUAUCAGGAGGAACACCGAUGGCGAAGGCAGGUCUCUGGGCAUUAACUGACGCUGAGGAGCGAAAGCAUGGGGAGCGAACAGG